GCACAUGCUUGCAGAGGAGAAAGGAAAGUUUAUAUUCCAGACAAUGGAUGAGUUUCUGAAGUGAAAGUCCAAAGAAGAGAAGACAGCAAGAAGUAGCUAUUUGUGUUUUUCAUGGUUUAUAGGCAUACUGGGGAAACUUGCCAUG